UAACAAUCAAAAUAAUACUGCAAAUAAAUAUAUUUGUCACAGUUCAUGUCAAUUCUAACACUGCUUUGAAAAUGACAUAAAAAAUAAAUAUCACAUAGUAGCUUGGCCACUUUUCUGUCAGAAGAACUUGAAAGUAGCACCACUGAGAUAUUCACCAUCUUCCAAAAAACACAUAAUCAAAAUAAUACUGAAAAUAAAGAUGUCACUGUUCAUGUCAAUUCUAACACUGCUUUGCAAAGUAUAAUUUAAAAUAUACAUCAGAGACUCAUUAUGAACCAUUUGAUCAAGAAAAUAAUUACUGGGAUGAGAUCCACUCGGGUAAAAAAGAUCAGCAAACAAUAUGCAUCCAUCUGCUUUGAUAAAUCAGUACUGAUAAGAAGUUACUAUCCGAGCAAUUGUCAUAACUUUCACUUUCAUUUUGACGUGAAUGUAUCUGAUUCCCAAGCUCCAACAACAUAAGAAAAGUUGUUGUACUAAGUUCAAUCGACAUGUCAUCUUUCGAAGUUUCCUGAGUUGAUGCAUGUGCCGACAUUACUUGCUCCUGUUUAACUACUAAGAUUAAACCUCCCUAACGCAGUUGUUCGUAUCCUGAAUGUUAAUUAGAUGUUUUCGAAUGUUUGCAAGGGAAUGCAGGCAAAUGCAGAAUGCCUCUGGCAUACUUUAUGAACAUAUUCUGUGCUCAAAAGACCGCCAUUUGUGAUGAUAAAGCCCCUUGUAACAAUAAAAAUUCUACCACUUACAACACAGACAAUUGUCAAGAGAGGGUAUUCAUGUUCGGCUUCGAGAUCAACAAAGAUCGAUUAUGUAUCUUUUUACUAGUUUACAACGGUAAAAUCAUAUGUUUUUUAUUAAAAGGUGAUGAUAACAAAUAAAAUAACUGACUACGUGGCUAUUGACGGGGGGAAAAAAUGGAAAUCUGAUUUAAUUUUAUUUUUACAUUUUCUCAAAAAUUAGUCGGAAAAUAUAAAAUGCCUGGCCUUAUCAUAACCUAUAACAAUAAUAACUAACAAUACUAUAAUAAUACUGAUAAUGUACAAUGAUAUAACAAGAAAAGUAUUCUGUGGACGUAUGUUUUGAGUCUUGUAGGGUGGAACUGAAAGAUUGUUUUCUCUUGGAGUUGACAAACUGGUGCAUAUCAUGAAAGACACACAUUGUCACUGUUAACGUCUUCCUUUACUGUCUGAACAGUUACUACCGCUGACCACCAUGUGAUACCAGCAGAUCCACCACUCGCUGAUUUCCCCUGAGUCUUGCCCAGUCGGCCGCUGUUUGCCCCUAGUUGUUCCUGGACUUAUUUCCUUUGUGAGUAUCAACUCAUGACACAAUCAAUUAUUAGUAAACAGAAUUGAUUGUCUACUGUAAAUAUGAGUGAUAUGACAUGGUUGCCAGGAGUUCCACCACUCGUGGAUUUCCCCUGGAUCUUGCCCAGUCGGCCGCCUUUUGCCCCUCGUUGUUCCUGGACUUAUGUCCUUCGUGGGUAUCAACUCAUGACACAAUCAAUUAUUAGUAAACAGAAUUGAUUGUCUACUGUAAAUAUGAGUCAUAUGACAUGGUUGCCAGGAGUUCCACCACUCGUGGAUUUCCCCUGGAUCUUGCCCAGUCGGCCGCCUUUUGCCCCUCGUUGUUCCUGGACUUAUGUCCUUCGUGGGUAUCAACUCAUGACACAAUCAAUUAUUUGUAAACAGAAUUGAUUGUCUACUGUAAAUAUGAGUGAUAUGACAUGGUUGCCAGGAGUUCCACCACUCGUGGAUUUCCCCUGAUCUUGCCCAGUCCGCCGCUGUUUUCCCCUCGUUGUUCCUUGACUUAUUUCCUUUGUGGGUAUCAACUCAUGACACAAUCAAUUAUUAGUAAACAGAAUUGAUUGUCUACUGUAAAUAUGAGUGACAUGACAUGGUUGCCAGGAGUUCCACCACUCGCUGAUUUCCCCUGGAUCUUGCCCAGUCGGCCAAUCAAUUAUUAGUAAACAGAUUUGAUUGUCUACUGUAAAUAUGAGUGAUAUGACAUGGUUGCCAGGAGUUCCACCACUCGUGGAUUUCCCCUGAGUCUUGCCCAGUCGGCCGCCUUUUGCCCCUUGUUGUUCCUGGACUUAUGUCCUUCGUGAGUAUCAACUCAUGACACAAUCAAUUAUUAGUAAACAGAAUUGAUUGUCUACUGUAAAUAUGAUUGAUAUGACAUGGUUGCCAGGAGUUCCACCACUCGUGGAUUUCCCCUGAGUCUUGCCCAGUCGGCCGCCUUUUGCCCCUUGUUGUUCCUGGACUUAUGUCCUUCGUGAGUAUCAACUCAUGACACAAUCAAUUAUUAGUAAACAGAAUUGAUUGUCUACUGUAAAUAUGAGUGAUAUGACAUGGUUGCCAGGAGUUCCACCACUCGUGGAUUUCCCCUGAGUCUUGCCCAGUCGGCCGCCUUUUGCCCCUUGUUGUUCCUGGACUUAUGUCCUUCGUGAGUAUCAACUCAUGACACAAUCAAUUAUUAGUAAACAGAAUUGAUUGUCUACUGUAAAUAUGAUUGAUAUGACAUGGUUGCCAGGAGUUCCACCACUCGUGGAUUUCCCCUGGAUCUUGCCCAGUCGGCCGCCUUUUGCCCCUCGUUGUUCCUGGACUUAUGUCCUUCGUGGGUAUCAACUCAUGACACAAUCAAUUAUUAGUAAACAGAAUUGAUUGUCUACUGUAAAUAUGAGUGAUAUGACACGGAUGCCAGGAGCUCCGGCACUCGCUGAUUUCCCCUGAGUCUUGCCCAGUCCGCCGCUGUUUUCCCCUCGUUGUUCCUUGACUUAUUUCCUUUGUGGGUAUCAACUCAUGACACAAUCAAUUAUUAGUAAACAGAAUUGAUUGUCUACUGUAAAUAUGAUUGAUAUGACAUGGUUGCCAGGAGUUCCACCACUCGCUGAUUUCCCCUGGGUCUUGUCCAGUCGGCCGCUGUUUUCCCCUCGUUGUUCCUGGACCUGACUUCACUAUCUCCACAUGUCCUCCUACACAGGCCUAGGGAAGGGUCACAGGUCACCGUCGUCGUUUUCUUACCAUGUUUCUCUACAUCCAGUUCUUUGUCCCUGGUAAGUAUAGAUUCUUCAUGGUCCAUAGUGACAAACAAACUGAUAAAAAAAAGCUUCUACCACUGUUGCAGCCGUGUGAUAGGAAUAUAGAUCAGGAUUUCGAAAGUCACGUGGUGCAUCAAACAGUUGCCACAUUAUUUCUCUUCUAUGGAUUUUUUGCUUUUCCUGAGUUCAUGUUUCUCCCAAGUCUGACCGCUGACCACCAUGUGAUUCCAGCAGAUCCACCACUCGCUGAUUUCCCCUGAAUCUUGCCCAGUCUUGCCGCUGUUUGCCACUGCUUAUUCCUGGACUUGAUGUCCUUAAUUCCGUAUGAAGACAAACUUUACCUUCUCCAAGUGUCCUCCUAUACAGACGUAGUGAAUUGUCACAGGUCACCGUCGUCGGUUCUCCCAAUGUUUCUCUACAUCCAGUGCUUUGUCCCUGGUCAGUAUGUAUUCUUCUUGGCCCAUAGUGACAAACAAACUGAUAAAAAAAAAGAAACUUCUGCCGCUGUUGCUCUUGUAUGGAUUUUUUGCUGUUCCUGAGUUCAUGUUUCUUCCAAGUCUGUCACACAAUCUCAUUCAAAUAAUUUUUUAGUUCUGGCUCCCGCUAAACAAAGGUCUGAGCGCAUCCCAUUAUGGGUCACGUCAGAAUGACCUUUUUUCCAACCAAUCAGGAAAGUGAGAGUUGGAAUGUGUUUUCUAAUCACUCAACAUUGACAAGGUUAACAUUGGAUGUUCCAAGUCCUGCCUGAAUCAUCGUCUGUCUCUCGCUUCAGUGAGAUAAACAUUUGAAACAGAAAAGACUUUCCAUAACCCGUGGAAAGUACUGUGGGUACAAUCGCGGACAGUUAUUAGACAUUUUCAGAAUUAUCUUUGAUCACUUUUUAAAUUUUGACAAAUAUUUUUCAAAGCAUAAUCUGGGAUGGAAGUGACGUAAAGCUCGAGAAAGCAGCUUUUGAUUGGCACACACCCCAUCACUGUCAGUAACAACGUCCUCCUUUAAUGUCUGAACAGAUUCUACAGCUGACCACCAUGGGAUUCCAGCAGAUCCGCCAGUUGCUGAUUUCCACUGAAUCUUGCCCGGUCGGCCGCUGUUUGUUCCUGAACUUGAUGUCCACAAUUCUGUAUGAAGACAAACUUUACCUUCUCCAAGUCUCCGCCCAUACAGACGUAGUGAAUUGUCACAGGUCACCGUCGUCGGUUCUCCCAAUGUUUCUCUACAUCCAGUGCUUUGUCCCUGGCCAGUAUGUAUUCUUCUUGGCCCAUAGUGACAAACAAACUGAUAAAAAAAAAAGAAACUUCUGCCUCUGUUGCUCUUGUAUGGACUUUUUGCUGUCCAUACAAUACUGAUAAAAAAAAAGCAGCAAAAAAACAACCUUCUGCCACUGUUGCAAUCAUGUGAUCAGGAAUACGGAUCUGGGAGCUGUUGUACAAAGCGAUCUUAGCCCCACGGUGAUCGUAACUUCCAUACCUUAACAUAGACUUACAACAGUCGUAGUGCUAAGGUUUUGUACAACUGCACCCAGGAAUUCAAAAGUCAAGUGGUGCAUCAAACUGGACUUGCGAACAGUUGCCACAUUAUUGCUCUUUUAUGGAUUUUGCUUUUCCUGAGUUUUCGUUUCUCCCAAGUGUGCCCCCUGUCACACAAUAUCAUUGUAUUACAUUUUUAAUUCCUGUUUCAGCUAAUCAAAGGUCUGAGAACAUCCCAUAUGGGUCAUGUCAGAAUGACCCUAUAAUCCAACCAACCUGGAAAGUGACAGUUGAAAUGUGUUUUCUAAUCAUGCAACAUUGACAGGGUUAACACUGGGUAUUCCAAAUGACAGUUAAAGGCUGUACAACUGAUUCCACCUUAAUCAUCAUCUACCUCUCGCUUCAAUGGGAUAAUCCUCCCACAUUAAGCUGACACACUGCAAUAUGACUCGAAUACUAUUAAAAGUGGCGUUAAACCAAACUCACUCACUCAAUAGGAUAAACAAUAGAAACAGAAGAGACUUUUCCUUGCCUGUAGAAAGUACUGACAUACAUUUAUUGGACAUUCCAGAGAUUUCUUUUGAUCACUUUUCUCGAGAAAGUUGCUUUUGAUUGGCUAAUGUAGACUUCUUGUUAGUCAUUUCAUUGAUUUCUGACCCUGUCCCUAUCAAUAACACCCUCCUUCUUUAAUGUCUGAACAGACACUAUCGCUGACUACCAUGGGAUUCCAGCAGAUCCACCACUCGCUGAUUUCCACUGAAUCUUGCCCAGUCGGCCGCUGUUUGCCCCUUGUUGUUCCUGGACUUGAUGUCCUUAAUCCCGUAUGAAGACAAACUUUACCUUCUCCACAUCUCCUCCCAAACAGACGUAGUGAAUUGUCACAGGUCACUGUCGUCGGUUCUCCCAAUGUUUCUCUACAUCCAGUGCUUUGUCCCUGGUCAGUAUGUAUUCUUCUUGGCCCAUAGUGACAAACAGACUGAUAAAAAAAUAGAAGC
rnacentral:lncRNA from 1 species